AGACCCGAAACCCGGUGAUCUAGCCAUGGGCAGGUUGAAGGUUGGGUAACACUAACUGGAGGACCGAACCGACUAAUGUUGAAAAAUUAGCGGAUGACCUGUGGCUGGGGGUGAAAGGCCAAUCAAACCGGGAGAUAGCUGGUUCUCCCCGAAAGCUAUUUAGGUAGCGCCUCGUGAAUUCAUCUCCGGGGGUAGAGCACUGUUUCGGCUAGGGGGCCAUCCCGGCUUACCAACCCGAUGCAAACUGCGAAUACCGGAGAAUGUUAUCACGGGAGACACACGGCGGGUGCUAACGUCCGUCGUGAAGAGGGAAACAACCCAGACCGCCAGCUAAGGUCCCAAAGUCAUGGUUAAGUGGGAAACGAUGUGGGAAGGCCCAGACAGCCAGGAUGUUGGCUUAGAAGCAGCCAUCAUUUAAAGAAAGCGUAAUAGCUCACUGGUCGAGUCGGCCUGCGCGGAAGAUGUAACGGGGCUAAACCAUGCACCGAAGCUGCGGCAGCGACACUGUGUGUUGUUGGGUAGGGGAGCGUUCUGUAAGCCUGUGAAGGUGUGUCGUGAGGCAUGCUGGAGGUAUCAGAAGUGCGAAUGCUGACAUAAGUAACGAUAAAGCGGGUGAAAAGCCCGCUCGCCGGAAGACCAAGGGUUCCUGUCCAACGUUAAUCGGGGCAGGGUGAGUCGACCCCUAAGGCGAGGCCGAAAGGCGUAGUCGAUGGGAAACGGGUUAAUAUUCCCGUACUUGGUGUUACUGCGAAGGGGGGACGGAGAAGGCUAUGUUGGCCGGGCGACGGUU
rnacentral:rRNA from 8 species